rnacentral:rRNA from 1 species
UACGGAGGGUGCAAGCGUUGUUCGGAAUUACUGGGCGUAAAGCGCGCGUAGGCGGCUCUUUAAGUCUCACUGUGAAAGACCGGGGCUCAACCCCGUGCGAGCAGGGGAUACUGGAGGGCUAGAGACCGGUAGAGGCCAGCGGAAUUUCGGGUGUAGCGGUGGAAUGCGUAGAGAUCCGAAAGAAUACCGGAGGCGAAGGCGGCUGGCUGGGCCGGGUCUGACGCUGAGGUGCGAAAGCGUGGGGAGCGAACAGG